GGGGGCGUAGCUCAGUUGGUUAGAGCGCCGGCCUGUCACGCCGGAGGUCGCGGGUUCGAGCCCCGUCGCUCCCGCCA
rnacentral:tRNA from 14 species